AUUGAACGCUGGCGGCAGGCUUAACACAUGCAAGUCGAGCGGGGGAGGUUGCUUCGGUAACUGACCUAGCGGCGGACGGGUGAGUAAUGCUUAGGAAUCUGCCUAUUAGUGGGGGACAACAUCUCGAAAGGGAUGCUAAUACCGCAUACGUCCUACGAGAGAAAGCAGGGGAUCUUCGGGCCUUGCGCUGAUAGAUGAGCCUAAGUCGGAUUAGCUAGUUGGUGGGGUAAAGGCCUACCAAGGCGACGAUCUGUAGCGGGUCUGAGAGGAUGAUCCGCCACACUGGGACUGAGACACGGCCCAGACUCCUACGGGAGGCAGCAGUGGGGAAUAUUGGACAAUGGGGGGAACCCUGAUCCAGCCAUGCCGCGUGUGUGAAGAAGGCCUUUUGGUUGUAAAGCACUUUAAGCGAGGAGGAGGCGCUCUAGGUUAAUACCCUAGAUGCGUGGACGUUACUCGCAGAAUAAGCACCGGCUAACUCUGUGCCAGCCGCCGCGGUAAAAC
rnacentral:rRNA from 1 species